GGGUUCUCAUUUCGCUAGCCAAUCGGAGAAACGCAGGAACGAAUGUAGGCCGCUCAUCGUGACUUCUGGGGAACGAAUUAAGGGUUUUGAGGGACGCUUACAUGAGAAAGUACAGAGGAAGAGAUGAAAGAGGAAGGUGGAUAGAGAAAUCAAAGACAGGAAAAAGUCAGAGGGACCUCCUCGUCCAGGAUUCAUUCUGCAGAUGGAACAGAACAAAGACUCUAAGGUAGAAGAUAUGAGGCUGAUCUCCCACCGCGAAGUGAAGUGCUUAAUCAGGGAAAAUAGUUAAGUUUGGGGCCACUUGUCGUUUAGAGGGAAAAAAAGCCUUGAAACGACGUCCUUGUAUAGCGCAAUAUAAUUGGUUCCGACGCUCCUUUUUCCCGCGACCCGAGGGAAAUGGACCGGAGCCGAGAAGCGCAGACCCAGACCCGGAUUCUUCUGGCGUCUUUGUCGGCGAUGGUCGCCGAGACCGUGACGUUUCCGAUUGACCUCACGAAGACCAGAAUGCAACUCCAGGGCUCAGGCGCCGACCGGGUCGGUGCGAUCCGUGUCGUUUCGGAGAUCGUGCGACGGGAGGGUGUGUCGGGUCUCUACAAAGGCCUGUCUCCGGCGAUUAUCAGACACCUCUUUUACACUCCGAUCAGAAUCGUUGGUUACGAGAAUCUCAGGGGAUUUGUCGUCGAAGACGGUGGGUCUCUCCCUCUUCCGACCAAGGCACUCAUCGGUGGCGUCUCCGGAGUCAUAGCCCAGGUAGUGGCCAGCCCUGCUGAUCUUGUCAAAGUGAGAAUGCAAGCAGAUGGAAGAUUGAUGGGUCAAGGCCUCCAACCGAGAUACUCGGGGGCAUUUCAUGCUUUCACCAAUAUCCUCCAGUCUGAAGGAAUUCGAGGGCUAUGGAAAGGGGUUUUCCCGAACAUCCAGCGAGCUUUUCUCGUGAACAUGGGGGAAUUAGCCUGCUACGACCAUGCAAAAAGCUUUGUCAUACAAAGCAAUAUCUCAGAGGAUAACAUCUAUGCACACACACUGGCUUCUAUAAUGUCAGGUCUUGCCUCCACAGCCCUGAGCUGCCCGGCUGAUGUGGUGAAGACGAGGAUGAUGAACCAGAGUAAGGACGAUUACAGGAAUUCUUACGAUUGUUUGGUGAAGACGGUCCGGUAUGAAGGGACACGAGCUUUGUGGAAGGGGUUCUUCCCGACAUGGGCAAGGCUUGGCCCUUGGCAGUUCGUGUUCUGGGUCUCUUACGAGAAACUCCGACAGCUCGCAGGGCUAUCUUCCUUCUAGCUAGUAGGCCCUCUCUCCUGUUAGAUCUCUUCAAGGGAGGAGUCUGAUGUUUAGAUCAUCAAAAUCUGUUUUGUGGUCAAUUUCUGCAGAGUUACCGAAGUCAACACAAGUAAAGCUUCAAUCUUUCCUUUGCUUCGUAUAAAACAAAUAUUGAAUUCCGUGUUGGAACUUCGGCUGGAUAGGAAGCCCAGAGAAAUUCUGCAGAUCGAG